GUGGCUGUGGCUCACUGGUAGAGUGCUUGCGUAGCACGUGUGAGGCACUGGGUUUGAUCCUCAGCACCACA
rnacentral:tRNA from 1 species